rnacentral:rRNA from 1 species
UACGUAGGGUCCGAGCGUUGUCCGGAAUUACUGGGCGUAAAGCGCGCGCAGGCGGCCCGCGAGGUGUCACGUGAAAGCCCCGGGCUCAACCCGGGGAGGGUCGUGGCAAACCGGCGGGCUCGAGGCCGGUAGAGGUGGGUGGAACUCCUGGUGGAGUGGUGAAAUGCGUAGAGAUCAGGAAGAACACCCGUGGCGGAAGGCCGGCCCACUGGGCCGGUACUGACGCUGAGGCGCGAAGGCGUGGGGAGCGAACGGG